ACGAACGCUGGCGGCAUGCCUAACACAUGCAAGUCGAACGCUAUCUUUGAUAGAGUGGCGCACGGGUGAGUAACGCGUGGGAACCUGCCUUUCUCUGCGGGGACAACGGUUGGAAACGACCGCUAAUACCGCAUACGCCCUACGGGGGAAAGGUUUACCGGAGAAAGAGGGGCCCGCGUUCGAUUAGCUAGUUGGUGGGGUAAAGGCCUACCAAGGCUACGAUCGAUAGCUGGUCUGAGAGGAUGAUCAGCCACACUGGGACUGAGACACGGCCCAGACUCCUACGGGAGCAGCAGUGGGGAAUAUUGG
rnacentral:rRNA from 1 species